CCAGCUCUCUUUGCCUUUUGGCUUAGAUCAAGUGUAGUAUCUGUUCUUUUCAGUCUAAUCGCUGAAACUCGUCUACGGACGAUUCAAGAUUAGUAAAUUUUUGUCACUCGUCCUUGGGCCGCUGGGCUUGCCUAUGUCCUCGGGCACUGUGUCGCUGGUAUUGCACUGCCUCCAGCUGACGCGAACCACC
rfam:Baudoinia panamericana TAMH 10762 unplaced genomic scaffold BATCOscaffold_7, whole genome shotgun sequence.